rnacentral:rRNA from 1 species
AUUGAACGCUGGCGGCAGGCCUAACACAUGCAAGUCGAACGAGUAGCGGACGGGGGAGUAAUGUCUGGGAAACUGCCUGAUGGAGGGGGAUAACUACUGGAAACGGUAGCUAAUAACGCAUAACAUCAGAUGUGCCCAGAGUGGCUUAGCUAGGUGGUGGGGUAACGGCUCACCAAGGCGAAGCUCCCUAGCUGGUCUGAGAGGAUGACCAGCCACACUGGACCUGAGACACGGUCCAGACUCCUACGGGAGGCACCAGUGGGGAAUAUGGCACAAUGGUCUGAAGCCUGAUGUAGCAACGCCGCGUGUAUGAAGAAGGUCUUCGGAUCGUAAAGUUCUUUCAUCGGUGAGGCGUUACUCGCACAAGAAGCACCGGCUAACUCCGUGCCAGCAGCCGCGGUAAUUC